rnacentral:rRNA from 1 species
UCUGAGACCGGCGCACGGGUGCGUAACGCGUAUGCAAUCUACCUUUCACAGAGGGAUAGCCCAGAGAAAUUUGGAUUAAUACCUCAUAGUAUAAUUGAGUGGCAUCACUUACUUAUUAAAGAUUUAUCGGUGAAAGAUGAGCAUGCGUCCCAUUAGCUAGUUGGUAUGGUAACGGCAUACCAAGGCAACGAUGGGUAGGGGUCCUGAGAGGGAGAUCCCCCACACUGGUACUGAGACACGGACCAGACUCC